UGUGACCUCAAAUCAGGUAGGACUACCCGCUGAACUUAAGCAUAUCAAUAAGCGGAGGAAAAGAAACUAACAAGGAUUCCCCUAGUAACUGCGAGUGAAGCGGGAAAAGCUCAAAUUUAAAAUCUGGCAGUCUUUGGUUGUCCGAGUUGUAAUCUAGAGAAGUGUUAUCCGCGCUGGACCGUGUACAAGUCUCCUGGAAUGGAGCGUCAUAGAGGGUGAGAAUCCCGUCUUUGACACGGACUACCAGGGCUUUGUGAUGCGCUCUCAAAGAGUCGAGUUGUUUGGGAAUGCAGCUCAAAAUGGGUGGUAAAUUCCAUCUAAAGCUAAAUAUUGGCGAGAGACCGAUAGCGAACAAGUACCGUGAGGGAAAGAUGAAAAGAACUUUGGAAAGAGAGUUAAACAGUACGUGAAAUUGCUGAAAGGGAAACGCUUGAAGUCAGUCGCGUCGUCCAGGGAUCAACCUUGCUUUUGCUUGGUGCACUUUCUGGCUGACGGGUCAGCAUCAAUUUUGAUCAUUGGAAAAAGAUUAAGGGAAUGUGGCAUCUUUGGAUGUGUUAUAGCCCUUGGUUGCAUACGAUGGUUGGGAUUGAGGAACUCAGCACGCCGCAAGGCCGGG
rnacentral:rRNA from 1 species